AGUUUUAUAAUUUAUAAAAAAUAUUAAAUUGCAAAUUUAAAAAAAAAUAUUUUAAAACUU
rnacentral:tRNA from 1 species